AACGAACGCUGGCGGUAUGCUUAACACAUGCAAGUCGAACGGUAGCAGGCCUUCGGGCGCUGACGAGUGGCGGACGGGUGAGUAACGCGUAGGAAUCUGCCUCAUAGUGGGGGACAACGUGGGGAAACUCACGCUAAUACCGCAUACGCCCUACGGGGGAAAGCGGGGGCUCUUCGGACCUCGCGCUAUGAGAUGAGCCUGCGUUAGAUUAGCUAGUUGGUAGGGUAAAAGCCUACCAAGGCGACGAUCUAUAGCUGGUCUGAGAGGACGAUCAGCCACACUGGGACUGAGACACGGCCCAGACUCCUACGGGAGGCAGCAGUGGGGAAUAUUGGACAAUGGGCGCAAGCCUGAUCCAGCAAUACCGCGUGUGUGAAGAAGGCCCUAGGGUUGUAAAGCACUUUCAAUUGGGAGGAAAACCUGCCGGUCAAUACCCGGCAGCUUGACACUACCUUUAGAAGAAGCACCGGCUAACUCCGUGCCAGCCGCCGCGGUAA
rnacentral:rRNA from 1 species